GUCUUGAAAGUGAUAUAAUCAUUUAUGGUUUCGGCCCAUUAGGUAACAGUAAAUACUGUUUUAAGACU
rnacentral:tRNA from 1 species